CAAGGAGUCUAACAUGUGUGCGAGUCAAUGGGUCUCGAAUAAGCCCAGAGGCGCAAUGAAAGCAAAGGCCGGACUCGAUUCCGUGCCGUGUUGGGAUCCCUGCUCCUUAAGCGGGCGGGGCGCACCAACGACCCGUCCUGUUCCACUUGUGGAUUGGGCGGAGUCUGAGCAUACACGUUGGGACCCGAAAGAUGGUGAACUAUGCCCGGGCAGGACGAGGCCAGAGGAAACUCUGGUGGAGGUCCGUAGCGGUUCUGACGUGCAAAUCGAUCGUCAGAUCCGGGUCUAGGGGCGAAAGACUAAUCGAACCAUCUAGUAGCUGGUUCCCUCCGAAGUUUCCCUCAGGAUAGCUGGCGCUCGGAGAUAUCAGUCUCAUCCGGUAAAGCGAAUGAUUAGAGGCCUUGGGGCCGAAACGACCUCAACCUAUUCUCAAACUUUAAAUGGGUGAGAAGUCCGCCUUGCAUGACUGAAGGCCGGACGUUACGGAUG
rnacentral:rRNA from 1 species